rnacentral:lncRNA from 1 species
CGUAGAGAAAUGUAUAAUCUUAUUCUUUGCACUCUCUUUCGUCUUCCCAUUUUGAGAUGCAUUUUUUUCCUGCUUUUUCAGAACAUACAAUGUUUAUGUAUUAUUCUUAUACCCAUAAUUCCAGCCUUAUUUUAGCCUGGGCUCUGCAAUAUAGGAAAUGCUCACCGUCAGUUCCUUUGCCAAUUUCUCCUAUCGUCUCUUAUUGGGUGAAGCCCAUCGUCUGGUAUGAGACUUUAGCCGUGAUGAAGCGUCGGCAUCCCUCCCCCGAGGCUGGGACCACUGGACGCUGAAUGCAUCCAUCUUCCUUCGCGUGUCUCUCACUCAGCAUCUUUUCUAACGUCUACUUCCCACCAGGCUGCAGGCCCGUGUUAACCUUCAGAUUUGGGAAAGAACUGGAUUGGCUGCUGGCGCUGGAAACUUUUCUUCACGAACGCCUUUUAUACGGUUUUGGCAGGCACAUAUAAUACCAGCAGAGAGAGAAAUCCCGCUGGCGAGAGAAAAUAAAACCUU